rnacentral:rRNA from 1 species
UAGGGAAUCUUCCACAAUGGACGCAAGUCUGAUGGAGCAACGCCGCGUGAGUGAAGAAGGUUUUCGGAUCGUAAAGCUCUGUUGUUGGUGAAGAAGGAUAGAGGCAGUAACUGGUCUUUAUUUGACGGUAAUCAACCAGAAAGUCACGGCUAACUACGUGCCAGCAGCCGCGGUAAUACGUAGGUGGCAAGCGUUGUCCGGAUUUAUUGGGCGUAAAGCGAGCGCAGGCGGAAUGAUAAGUCUGAUGUGAAAGCCCACGGCUCAACCGUGGAACUGCAUCGGAAACUGUCAUUCUUGAGUGCAGAAGAGGAGAGUGGAACUCCAUGUGUAGCGGUGGAAUGCGUAGAUAUAUGGAAGAACACCAGUGGCGAAGGCGGCUCUCUGGUCUGCAACUGACGCUGAGGCUCGAAAGCAUGGGUAGCGAACAGGAUUAGAUACCCUGGUAGUCCAUGCCGUAAACGAUGAGCGCUAGGUGUUGGGGACUUUCCGGUUCUCA